AGAGCGAACGCUGGCGGCAGGCUUAACACAUGCAAGUCGAGCGGGCGUAGCAAUACGUCAGCGGCAGACGGGUGAGUAACGCGUGGGAACGUACCUUUUGGUUCGGAACAACACAGGGAAACUUGUGCUAAUACCGGAUAAGCCCUUACGGGGAAAGAUUUAUCGCCGAAAGAUCGGCCCGCGUCUGAUUAGCUAGUUGGUGAGGUAACGGCUCACCAAGGCGACGAUCAGUAGCUGGUCUGAGAGGAUGAUCAGCCACAUUGGGACUGAGACACGGCCCAAACUCCUACGGGAGGCAGCAGUGGGGAAUAUUGGACAAUGGGCGCAAGCCUGAUCCAGCCAUGCCGCGUGAGUGAUGAAGGCCCUAGGGUUGUAAAGCUCUUUUGCAGGGGACGAUGAUGACGGUACCCUGAGAAUAAGCCCCGGCUAACUUCGCGCCAGCAGCCGC
rnacentral:rRNA from 1 species